ensembl:lncRNA
UUUCUGGAGAUUCCUUCUCUUGGUGAAGCUUUCCCCUGUGAACCUGGAAUCUUCUGAUAGGAAUACCUUUGAUUGCAAGCCUCUGCUGGGAGGCAGAGCCUAAGCACAGCUGCCGCAUUGCAAUGCCUUGUUUGAGAGUUCCCACCUCAGCCAGCAUAGAAGGUGGCUAGGGAAGAGCAGUAGGAUUGCCAUGUGGAAUGAAAGGAAUGUGAAAGAAGACAGUGUGCCCUACUUGAAUGAAUGACGAUGGGAAUCCCUUGAAAUUCAAGUGGGUGGAACCAGAUGGGGCAUCAGCAGUGAGAGGAACUCUGGAUCUAGCAGCUUUUUUGGUUGGAUUCUCCCAGCACACAACUGGGGAACUUUUAAUGGUUGCUGUAUUCAUCUGAAAUGGCCAGCAAAUGCUGAAGGCCUGGAACCAACCAGAGAAGUGAAUUUACAGAUUACCUGAUGACCAUUUUCACAGAAAAAAAAAAGAUUGCUUUCUUUUAAGAGGAUCAGAAUGGUUUUUGCACCCAAAUUCUGAAAUAUUCCUUUCUUUGGCUUUUGGAAAUGGACUGAUUUUUCUGCCUAGAUGUCUUGAUUAAGCUUAAAACUUUGAAAUCGGUUGCACUUUAUGGAAUGGUUAACAGAUUGCACAGUAGUCAUGCUGCAGCCACAGUGUAGUUUAACCAUGAUUGUUGAAUCCUGCAGCUGUUUUAUUGAUAAGUUUACUAUGUGGCUGAAUACGAACUGCAUUAUGUGUGGUUUUUAGGAGUGUCUCUCUAGUUCCCAUAGUAAAAUGAGUUUUCAAAGCAAAAAGUGCUAGCAGCAUCCUCAAGGUUUCUUACUGCUUACUGUAUCUCCUGUCUGAUUAACGCACAGAUAUAAUGAGUUUUGAUGAGACGUGCUUGUUGGUGGUGUUUCAUUUUAAGGCAUUUAUGCUGAUUUAUUUUUUUUCCCUUUUUUUCCAAAUGGAAGCAACAGUAGGCUUUCUGAAGGAGAACGGGUAAUCCAGCAGAUCCAGGCUGUUCCUUUAAGGUCUUUUUCAGAACCAGCUAGAUGUUGAUUCCUUUAUUCAUACUACUGAGCAACUUACUGACUGGAUAGGUAAUUCUAAUGUUAAAUAAAAUUUCUUAGAAAAAAAAUCCAGCUCAAAGGAAAUAAACAUGAGAUAAGGAAUCUGACUGUACAGAACUCCUACAAUAAAAAAGGGAAAACUUGCUGCCCUAACCUUGCCCUGACCACAAAUGACCAUACUUUUCCAAAACUUUUGGAUUACCUUAUUCAGAAAUAGUUUAAUAGGUGGAAUAGGCAUACUCUUGAAGUCAGUGAAAGUGACUCUGACAUAAAAUAUAUUCAGGUUCCUGGAAAUUUGGGUGUUUUGUUAACUAUUUAUAGCUGUAUCAUGACCUGUAUUAAUGAAUAAACACCUAUUUUUUAAUC